AGCCCUAUAGUCUAGCGGUCAAGGAUAGUGGCCUUUGAAGCCAUUGACCCCGGUUCGAAUCCGGGUGGGGCUA
rnacentral:tRNA from 1 species